CAAGCAGAAGACGGCAUACGAGAUGUGACUGGAGUUCAGACGUGUGCUCUUCCGAUCUCUCCACCCAGACUCAUCCAUCAUCAGCUUCAUAGAGAGUUUCUGUUGGUGCUGAUAUAAAAAAGACAGUAGGCAUGCAUCUUAGGCAAAUCCGGGGUGCUUUAUGCUGAGAGUUGAUAGCAAGCUGUACUUGUACAGUGAAGUGGCUGAUACCAUGCUUCCAAGAAAAGUCUCUAAGCUUCAGUUACACAGGAAUCGUACCCUAAACCGACACAGGUGGUCAGGUCGAGUAGACCAAAGCGCUUGAGAGAACUCUGCUGAAGGAACUAGGCAAAAUGGUACCGUAACUUCGGGAGAAGGUACGCUGCUGAUGGUGAUGGGACUUGCUCCCUGAGCUGUUGGCAGCCACAGAAACCAGGCCGCUGCAACUGUUUAUUAAAAACAUAGCACUCUGCAAACACGAAAGUGGACGUAUAGGGUGUGAUGCCUGCCCGGUGCUGGAAGGUUAAUUGAUGGGGUUAGCGUAAGCGAAGCUCUUGAUCGAAGCCCCAGUAAACGGCGGCCGUAACUAUAACGGUCCUAAGGUAGCGAAAUUCCUUGUCGGGUAAGUUCCGACCUGCACGAAUGGCAUAAUGAUGGCGGCGCUGUCUCCAGCAGAGGCUCAGUGAAAUCGAAAUCGCUGUGAAGAUGCAGUGUACCCGCGGCUAGACGGAAAGACCCCGUGAACCUUUACUGCAGCUUGACAUUGAACUUUGACCUUACUUGUGUAGGAUAGGUGGGAGGCUUUGAAGUUGGAACGCCAGUUCCAAUGGAGCCGUCCUUGAAAUACCACCCUGGUAAUGUUGAGGUUCUAACUCUGUCCCGUUAUCCGGGACGAGGACCAUGUCUGGUGGGUAGUUUGACUGGGGCGGUCUCCUCCUAAAGAGUAACGGAGGAGUACGAAGGUGCGCUCAGCGUGGUCGGAAAUCACGCGUAGAGUAUAAAGGCAAAAGCGCGCUUAACUGCGAGACCCACAAGUCGAGCAGGUACGAAAGUAGGUCUUAGUGAUCCGGUGGUUCUGUAUGGAAGGGCCAUCGCUCAACGGAUAAAAGGUACUCUGGGGAUAACAGGCUGAUACCGCCCAAGAGUUCAUAUCGACGGCGGUGUUUGGCACCUCGAUGUCGGCUCAUCUCAUCCUGGGGCUGAAGCAGGUCCCAAGGGUAUGGCUGUUCGCCAUUUAAAGAGGUACGCGAGCUGGGUUUAGAACGUCGUGAGACGGUUCGGUCCCUAUCUACCGUGGGCGCUGGAAAUUUGAGAGGAUCUGCUCCUAGUACGAGAGGACCAGAGUGGACGAACCUCUGGUGUACCGGUUGUGACGCCAGUCGCAUCGCCGGGUAGCUAUGUUCGGAAGGGAUAACCGCUGAAAGCAUCUAAGCGGGAAGCCUACCUCAAGAUAAGAUUUCCCUAGGACUUUAUGUCCUCUAAAGAGCCGUUCGAGACUAGGACGUUGAUAGGUUGGGUGUGGAAGUACGGUGACGUAUGAAGCUGACCAAUACUAGUUGCUCGUGAGGCUUGACC
rnacentral:rRNA from 1 species